AACCUGGUUGAUCCUGCCAGUAGUCAUAUGCUUGUCUCAAAGAUUAAGCCAUGCAUGUCUAAGUACAAGCCUUAAUAAGGUGAAACCGCGAAUGGCUCAUUAAAUCACACCUAAUGUACUGGAUAGUCUCAGUUACUUGGAUAACUGCGGUAAUUCUGGAGCUAAUACAUGCGCAAAACUGCGACUCACGGAGCAGUGCUUUUAUUAGAUCAAAACCAAACGGCUUUGCCGUUCCUUUGGUGAUUCUGAAUAACUUUGGGCUGAUCGCAUGGCCUUGAGCCGGCGACGUAUCCUUCCAAGGUGUGCCCUAUCAACUGUCGACUGUGGCAUAGACGCCCACAGUGGUUUUGACGGGUAACGGGGAAUUAGGGUUCGAUUCCGGAGAGGGAGCCUGAGAAACGGCUACCACUUCUACGGAAGGCAGCAGGUGCGCAAAUUACCCCCUGGU
rnacentral:rRNA from 1 species